CCAGAGGCGUAGCGGCUCGCUGGGUCUUAACUGACGCUGAGGCACGAAAGCGUGGGGAGCAAACAGGAUUAGAUACCCUGGUAGUCCACGCCGUAAACGAUGAGUACUAAGUGUCGGGUUAAACCGGUACUGAAGUUAACACAUUAAGUACUCCGCCUGAGUAGUACGUACGCAAGUAUGAAACUUAAAGGAAUUGACGGGACUCCGCACAAGCGGUGGAUCAUGUUGUUUAAUUCGAAGAUACCCGAAAAACCUUACCAGGUCUUGACAUGUUUUUGCAAAAUGAUAGUAAUAUCGUGGAGGUUACCAGAAACACAGGUGGUGCAUGGUUGUCGUCAGCUCGUGUCGUGAGAUGUUAGGUUAAGUCCUAAAACGAGCGAAACCCUUAUCGUUAGUUGCCAGCACGUUAUGGUGGGGACUUUAACGAGACUGCCAAUGAUAAUUGGAGGAAGGUGAGGAUCACGUCAAAUCAGCAUGCCCCUUAUGACCUGGGCUACAAACGUAAACAAUGGCUGUUACAAAGGGUAGCUGAAACGCAAGUUCUUGGCCAAUCCCCAAAAACAGUCCCAGUCCGGAUUGAAGUCUGCAACUCAACUUCAUGAAGUUGGAAUCGCUAGUAAUCGCGAAUAGCAUGUCGGGGUGAAUACGUUCUCGGGGUUUGUACACACCGCCCGGCCAACCCCGAAAGUUGGCAAUACCCCAAAACG
rnacentral:rRNA from 1 species